UCCGGUUUGUCACCGAGUUCAAUAAAGCACUCUCGCCUUUCGGCAAAAUUCUCGGGAUGUCAAGCCCUGGUAAGGUUCUUCGUUUACCAUCGAAUUAAAGAACACGCUCCACCGCUUGUGCGGGUCCCCGUCAAUUCCUUUAUGUUUUAGCCUUGCGGCCGUACUCCACAGGCGGGAUGCUUAACGCGUUAGCUUCGCUACGGAGGGGGUCGAUACCCCCCACAGCUAGCAUCCAUCGUUUACGGCGUGGACUAC
rnacentral:misc_RNA from 1 species